AGCGCAUACGGUGGAUGCCUUGGCAGUCAGAGGCGAUGAAAGACGUGGUAGCCUGCGAAAAGCUUCGGGGAGUCGGCAAACAGACUUUGAUCCGGAGAUCUCUGAAUGGGGGAACCCACCUAGGAUAACCUAGGUAUCUUGUACUGAAUCCAUAGGUGCAAGAGGCGAACCAGGGGAACUGAAACAUCUAAGUACCCUGAGGAAAAGAAAUCAACCGAGAUUCCCUUAGUAGUGGCGAGCGAACGGGGAUUAGCCCUUAAGCUUCAUUGAUUUUAGCGGAACGCUCUGGAAAGUGCGGCCAUAGUGGGUGAUAGCCCCGUACGCGAAAGGAUCUUUGAAGUGAAAUCGAGUAGGACGGAGCACGAGAAACUUUGUCUGAACAUGGGGGGACCAUCCUCCAAGGCUAAAUACUACUGACUGACCGAUAGUGAACCAGUACCGUGAGGGAAAGGCGAAAAGAACCCCGGAGAGGGGAGUGAAAUAGAACCUGAAACCGUAUGCGUACAAGCAGUGGGAGCCUACUUGUUAGGUGACUGCGUACCUUUUGUAUAAUGGGUCAGCGACUUAUAUUCAGUGGCAAGCUUAACCGUAUAGGGUAGGCGUAGCGAAAGCGAGUCUUAAUAGGGCGUUUAGUCGCUGGGUAUAGACCCGAAACCGGGCGAUCUAUCCAUGAGCAGGUUGAAGGUUAGGUAACACUGACUGGAGGACCGAACCCACUCCCGUUGAAAAGGUAGGGGAUGACUUGUGGAUCGGAGUGAAAGGCUAAUCAAGCUCGGAGAUAGCUGGUUCUCCUCGAAAGCUAUUUAGGUAGCGCCUCAUGUAUCACUCUGGGGGGUAGAGCACUGUUUCGGCUAGGGGGUCAUCCCGACUUACCAAACCGAUGCAAACUCCGAAUACCCAGAAGUGCCGAGCAUGGGAGACACACGGCGGGUGCUAACGUCCGUCGUGAAAAGGGAAACAACCCAGACCGCCAGCUAAGGUCCCAAAGUUGUGGUUAAGUGGUAAACGAUGUGGGAAGGCUUAGACAGCUAGGAGGUUGGCUUAGAAGCAGCCACCCUUUAAAGAAAGCGUAAUAGCUCACUAGUCGAGUCGGCCUGCGCGGAAGAUGUAACGGGGCUCAAACCACACACCGAAGCUGCGGGUGUCACGUAAGUGACGCGGUAGAGGAGCGUUCUGUAAGCCUGUGAAGGUGAGUUGAGAAGCUUGCUGGAGGUAUCAGAAGUGCGAAUGCUGACAUGAGUAACGACAAUGGGUGUGAAAAACACCCACGCCGAAAGACCAAGGGUUCCUGCGCAACGUUAAUCGACGCAGGGUUAGUCGGUUCCUAGGCGAGGCUGAAAAGCGUAGUCGAUGGGAAACAGGUUAAUAUUCCUGUACUUCUGGUUACUGCGAUGGAGGGACGGAGAAGGCUAGGCCAGCUUGGCGUUGGUUGUCCAAGUUUAAGGUGGUAGGCUGAAAUCUUAGGUAAAUCCGGGGUUUCAAGGCCGAGAGCUGAUGACGAGUCGUCUUUUAGAUGACGAAGUGGUUGAUGCCAUGCUUCCAAGAAAAGCUUCUAAGCUUCAGGUAACCAGGAACCGUACCCCAAACCGACACAGGUGGUCGGGUAGAGAAUACCAAGGCGCUUGAGAGAACUCGGGUGAAGGAACUAGGCAAAAUGGCACCGUAACUUCGGGAGAAGGUGCGCCGGCUAGGGUGAAGGAUUUACUCCGUAAGCUCUGGCUGGUCGAAGAUACCAGGCCGCUGCGACUGUUUAUUAAAAACACAGCACUCUGCAAACACGAAAGUGGACGUAUAGGGUGUGACGCCUGCCCGGUGCCGGAAGGUUAAUUGAUGGGGUUAGCGCAAGCGAAGCUCUUGAUCGAAGCCCCGGUAAACGGCGGCCGUAACUAUAACGGUCCUAAGGUAGCGAAAUUCCUUGUCGGGUAAGUUCCGACCUGCACGAAUGGCGUAACGAUGGCGGCGCUGUCUCCACCCGAGACUCAGUGAAAUUGAAAUCGCUGUGAAGAUGCAGUGUAUCCGCGGCUAGACGGAAAGACCCCGUGAACCUUUACUGUAGCUUUGCACUGGACUUUGAGCCUGCUUGUGUAGGAUAGGUGGGAGGCUUUGAAGCGUGGACGCCAGUUCGCGUGGAGCCAUCCUUGAAAUACCACCCUGGCAUGCUUGAGGUUCUAACUCUGGUCCGUAAUCCGGAUCGAGGACAGUGUAUGGUGGGCAGUUUGACUGGGGCGGUCUCCUCCUAAAGAGUAACGGAGGAGUACGAAGGUGCGCUCAGACCGGUCGGAAAUCGGUCGCAGAGUAUAAAGGCAAAAGCGCGCUUGACUGCGAGACAGACACGUCGAGCAGGUACGAAAGUAGGUCUUAGUGAUCCGGUGGUUCUGUAUGGAAGGGCCAUCGCUCAACGGAUAAAAGGUACUCCGGGGAUAACAGGCUGAUACCGCCCAAGAGUUCAUAUCGACGGCGGUGUUUGGCACCUCGAUGUCGGCUCAUCACAUCCUGGGGCUGAAGCCGGUCCCAAGGGUAUGGCUGUUCGCCAUUUAAAGUGGUACGCGAGCUGGGUUUAGAACGUCGUGAGACAGUUCGGUCCCUAUCUGCCGUGGACGUUUGAGAUUUGAGAGGGGCUGCUCCUAGUACGAGAGGACCGGAGUGGACGAACCUCUGGUGUUCCGGUUGUCACGCCAGUGGCAUUGCCGGGUAGCUAUGUUCGGAAAAGAUAACCGCUGAAAGCAUCUAAGCGGGAAACUUGCCUCAAGAUGAGAUCUCACUGGGAACUUGAUUCCCCUGAAGGGCCGUCGAAGACUACGACGUUGAUAGGCUGGGUGUGUAAGCGUUGU
rnacentral:rRNA from 1 species